CGUCUAUAUACGUAUAGCAUAUCAAUAAGCGGAGGAAAAGAAACUAACAAGGAUUCCCCUAGUAACGGCGAGUGAAGCGGGAAGAGCUCAAAUUUGAAAUCUUAAAGGGUUUCCCUUUACGAAUUGUAGUUUAAAGAAGUGUUUUCUGUUGGAGUUUCGGUAAAAGUUCUUUGGAAUAGGACAUCAUAGAGGGUGAGAAUCCCGUAUUUGACCGUUACUUUCCAGCUGUGUGAUACACUUUCAAAGAGUCGGAUUGUUUGGGAAUGCAGUCCAAAAUGGGUGGUAUAUUUCAUCUAAAGCUAAAUACUGGCGAGAGACCGAUAGCGAACAAGUACCGUGAGGGAAAGAUGAAAAGAACUUUGAAAAGAGAGUUAAACAGUACGUGAAAUUGUCAAAAGGGAAGCGUUUGACACCAGUGUUGUUUUCUCGAAAAUCAAUUAAAAAAUGAUUGGAUUUUGUGUUGUAUUGACUUUAUCAGCUUUCUGCACUCUUUUCUUGUCUUUUUUAAUGCACUUUUCGUUUAACAAGUCAACAUCAAUUUCUUUUGUUGUAAAAGGGUCAUUGGAAGGUGGCUUUCUUUUCGGAGAAAGUGUUUAUAGCCUUUGGCUUCUGACAAGUCGGAGAGAUUGAGGUCUGCAGCGUAGAUCCUUCGGGGUUAGAUACAUUUGUGCUAAGUUAUAGCCUUUCAUAGACAACUUGUUGACUAUGAUCAGUCAUGUAGCUUACUCGCUUAUGUCUAUUUAUACCUACGCUUAGGAUGUUGAUCUGUAGUGCGUGCGC
rnacentral:rRNA from 1 species